UACGAAGGGGGCUAGCGUUGCUCGGAAUUACUGGGCGUAAAGCGCACGUAGGCGGCUUUCUAAGUCGGGGGUGAAAUCCUGGAGCUCAACUCCAGAACUGCCUUCGAUACUGGAGAGCUCGAGUCCGGGAGAGGUGAGUGGAACUGCGAGUGUAGAGGUGAAAUUCGUAGAUAUUCGCAAGAACACCAGUGGCGAAGGCGGCUCACUGGCCCGGUACUGACGCUGAGGUGCGAAAGCGUGGGGAGCAACAGG
rnacentral:rRNA from 1 species